GACGAACGCUGGCGGCGUGCUUAACACAUGCAAGUCGAACGGAAAGGCCCUGCUUUUGUGGGGUGCUCGAGUGGCGAACGGGUGAGUAACACGUGAGUAACCUGCCCUUGACUUUGGGAUAACUUCAGGAAACUGGGGCUAAUACCGGAUAGGAGCUCCUGCUGCAUGGUGGGGGUUGGAAAGUUUCGGCGGUUGGGGAUGGACUCGCGGCUUAUCAGCUUGUUGGUGGGGUAGUGGCUUACCAAGGCUUUGACGGGUAGCCGGCCUGAGAGGGUGACCGGCCACAUUGGGACUGAGAUACGGCCCAGACUCCUACGGGAGGCAGCAGUGGGGAAUAUUGCACAAUGGGCGGAAGCCUGAUGCAGCAACGCCGCGUGCGGGAUGACGGCCUUCGGGUUGUAAACCGCUUUCGCCUGUGACGAAGCGUGAGUGACGGUAAUGGAUAAAGAAGCACCGGCUAAUUACGUG
rnacentral:rRNA from 1 species